GGCCCUCCAGAGCACUGGGAUUACAGGAGGAGAAGGCUGGACUAGCGAGACCUUCGGAGUCAGGCCUGCACCACUCAGCAGGUCUCAGCGCUCAUGUGUGAGUGACCCACCAUGAGCCUGAAUGUUGUCUCCUCAGAGCAGUCACCUGGAGCUCUGGCUAAAGUCAGCCUCACCCGGUUCAUCCCAGUUGAGGUUCGUCACCACUGUCACCAGCUGGAAUCAUCUGCUUCCUGAUUUGCUGCUAUGUUUCUGGUCUGUCUUCCCCUGUGAAGGCAGAGCCUCAUGGGUGUUGCUCAUCAUUUCGUCUCAGUGCCUGGUGCAGACAAGGCUGAAGCAAAGCACAAGGGAGGUUCCGAGGCUGCAGGCUCCUCACGCCGAGGAGUCAGCCACCCCCGUGUGCCAUGGAAAUGCAGGCAUGUGAGGCUGUGGUUCUUCAGGAGGGACACAGGGAGCAGCCAGACCUGGGGAAAGAUUCAGUGGAAUGACCCCCGAAACCUGGCAUUUGGGGGCUUCUCUACCCCGGCCAGUCAAGCCUCUGGGACCUGAAGAGCCCCCUCACACUCCUCAUGACAACCAUGACAACCUCAUGACAACUAACAGCAAAGGCAGCGGUUUUUUGAAAAUGUGUCUUUUGGUGACCAAUCCCAAGGGAUCAUUCACUUUCUGGCCUGGAGACAAGAAAGGGAAGACCUCCCCCAACACCCCCUUUCCCUGCUACAGGUCACCCAGAGGCAUAAUGUAUAGACCUCCUAAAUCCCCUCCCUUAUCCCUCUAGACAUCUCUCUGGACAGCGCGACAGUGAGUCUGUCCCCCUGGCGGCAGCUGGAUCAUUAACUGUGAGGUUUAUCACGGGUGAUAGGAUUGAGCUCUGUGCUUCACGUUGUUGUUGGAAGGGAGAUAAAAGAGGUCUUGGGAGCCAUGAGUCCCCGACUUUCCCUUCUACCCCACUUUCCAGAGCAGCUGGAUACAGGGAAAGUCACUCACACACUCCUCCUUGCUGGCCGCUGUGCACAUGGUUUUGUCAUGCAUGUCACCCUAACACCAGAUUACUUUCCCCAAGACAUGCCAGGAUCAUUUCUUCUAGCCCAGCUGUGUUCGAACUAGCCCUUCACCAAGUGGUUCAGUUUCCUUGGUGGGGCCUGUAUGAUUGUGAGGGGCUGGGGGAAGUCUGGAGGCGGGUGUCAGGGAAGUAUGAAGCCCAGUUCCUGCCACAAGGUUCACACCCAAUGAAUGGUCACUGUUAUUACACAGGAUGGUAGGCUUGUGGUUUGUUUUUUCCCUCUAUUCUUUGGUCACUUUUCUAUAAGCAUAUUAUUUUUAGAAUCAGAAAAAAAAACUCAUGAAACAAAAGAAAUGUGAUGAGUGAUUUACAGGGAGCAAAGGGCAGAGAGAGAGAGACAGAAAGAGAGAGAGAGAGACAGAUGCUCUUUAGAAACCGUGGCUCUGGGCCCCGGAAUUUAAUCUGCAGUUAAGGAGGCUGAGAGAGGCAGGUGGGUGCACCCACAGGUCUCCUAACUGAGAACUUCCUGCCUUUGAGCCCACCUACUAGUCCCCAGGUUACAGAUCUCAG
rnacentral:lncRNA from 10 species